GCUGGGCAUGGUGGAACGUGCCUGUAAUCCCAGCUACUCGGGAGGCUGAGGCGGGAGGAUUGCUUGAGCCCAGGAGUCUGAGGGUGCAGUGAGCUUGACUGUGCCACUGCACUCCAGCCUGGACAACAGAGCAAGACCCUGUCUCUA
ensembl:misc_RNA Metazoa_SRP Metazoan signal recognition particle RNA